rnacentral:rRNA from 1 species
GACCGGCCACAUUGGGACUGAGAUACGGCCCAGACUCCUACGGGAGGCAGCAGUGGGGAAUAUUGCACAAUGGGCGCAAGCCUGAUGCAGCGACGCCGCGUGCGGGAUGACGGCCUUCGGGUUGUAAACCGCUUUUGAUCGGGAGCAAGCCUUCGGGUGAGUGUACCUUUCGAAUAAGCACCGGCUAACUACGUGCCAGCAGCCGCGGUAAUACGUAGGGUGCAAGCGUUAUCCGGAAUUAUUGGGCGUAAAGGGCUCGUAGGCGGUUCGUCGCGUCCGGUGUGAAAGUCCAUCGCUUAACGGUGGAUCUGCGCCGGGUACGGGCGGGCUGGAGUGCGGUAGGGGAGACUGGAAUUCCCGGUGUAACGGUGGAAUGUGUAGAUAUCGGGAAGAACACCAAUGGCGAAGGCAGGUCUCUGGGCCGUUACUGACGCUGAGGAGCGAAAGCGUGGGGAGCGAACAGGAUUAGAUACCCUGGUAGUCCACGCCGUAAACGGUGGAUGCUGGAUGUGGGGCCCGUUCCACGGGUUCCGUGUCGGAGCUAACGCGUUAAGCAUCCCGCCUGGGGAGUACGGCCGCAAGGCUAAAACUCAAAGAAAUUGACGGGGGCCCGCACAAGCGGCGGAGCAUGCGGAUUAAUUCGAUGCAACGCGAAGAACCUUACCUGGGCUUGACAUGUUCCCGACAGCCGUAGAGAUAUGGCCUCCCUUCGGGGCGGGUUCACAGGUGGUGCAUGGUCGUCGUCAGCUCGUGUCGUGAGAUGUUGGGUUAAGUCCCGCAACGAGCGCAACCCUCGCCCUGUGUUGCCAGCACGUCAUGGUGGGAACUCACGGGGGACCGCCGGGGUCAACUCGGAGGAAGGUGGGGAUGACGUCAGAUCAUCAUGCCCCUUACGUCCAGGGCUUCACGCAUGCUACAAUGGCCGGUACAACGGGAUGCGACACGGCGACGUGGAGCGGAUCCCUGAAAACCGGUCUCAGUUCGGAUUGGAGUCUGCAACCCGACUCCAUGAAGGCGGAGUCGCUAGUAAUCGCGGAUCAGCAACGCCGCGGUGAAUGCGUUCCCGGGCCUUGUACACACCGCCCGUCAAGUCAUGAAAGUGGGCAGCACCCGAAGCCGGUGGCCUAACCCCUUGUGGGAUGGAGCCGUCUAAGGUGAGGCUCGUGAUUGGGACUAAGUCGUAACAAGGUAGCCGUACCGGAAGGUGCGGCUG